CAUAACCCCGGGAAACUGGGGAUAAUUCCGGAUAACGCAUAUGUGCUGGAAUGCUUUAUGCGUCAAAUGGAUUCGUCCGCCCAAGGAUGGGUCUGCGGCCUAUCAGGUAGUAGUGGGUGUAAUGUACCUACUAGCCGACAACGGGUACGGGUUGUGAGAGCAAGAGCCCGGAGAUGGAUUCUGAGACAUGAAUCCAGGCCCUACGGGGCGCAGCAGGCGCGAAAACUUUACAAUGCGGGAAACCGUGAUAAGGGGACACCGAGUGUCAGCAUCAUAUGCUGGCUGUCCAGGUGUGUAAAAUACACCUGUUAGCAAGGGCCGGGCAAGACCGGUGCCAGCCGCCGCGGUAACACCGGCGGCCCGAGUGGUGAUCGUGAUUAUUGGGUCUAAAGGGUCCGUAGCCGGUUUGGUCAGUCCUCCGGGAAAUCUGAUAGCUCAACUAUUAGGCUAUCGGGGGAUACUACCAGACUUGGAACCGGGAGAGGUAAGAGGUACUACAGGGGUAGGAGUGAAAUCUUGUAAUCCCUGUGGGACCACCUGUGGCGAAGGCGUCUUACCAGAACGGGUUCGACGGUGAGGGACGAAAGCUGGGGGCACGAACCAGAUUAGAUACCCGGGUAGUCCCAGCCGUAAACGAUGCUCGCUAGGUGUCAGGCAUGGCGCGACCGUGUCUGGUGCCGCAGGGAAGCCGUGAAGCGAGCCACCUGGGAAGUACGGCCGCAAGGCUGAAACUUAAAGGAAUUGGCGGGGGAGCAC
rnacentral:rRNA from 1 species